UACGAAGGGGGCUAGCGUUGCUCGGAAUCACUGGGCGUAAAGCGCACGUAGGCGGAUUGCUAAGUCAGGGGUGAAAUCCUGGAGCUCAACUCCAGAACUGCCUUUGAUACUGGCGACCUUGAGUCCGGGAGAGGUGAGUGGAACUGCGAGUGUAGAGGUGAAAUUCGUAGAUAUUCGGAAGAACACCAGUGGCGAAGGCGACUAACUGGACAUGUAUUGACGCUGAGGUGCGAAAGCGUGGGGAGCAAACAGG
rnacentral:rRNA from 1 species